AUGAAAUUCAGGAAUAUCAUAUUCCUAGAGCUAUUGGGCUACCAGGUACAGUUACGUUCAGAUUACUAUGCUUUUUGCGAUGCUUCAACCAAAGCCUAUGCUUCUGCUGUUUAUCUACAUCAACUCAGGGAAGACAACUUAUGUAAAAUUGAUUUACUGUUUUCCAAGACACGCUUGGUACCAAAUAAGAAAAUAACUUUACCACGACUUGAGUUAUUAGCAGUUGUCAUUGGUGUCCGUUGCAUUGACUUUGUUAAGAAGCAAUUAAAACUUCCUAUCUGUGAGACGAUUUUGUGGACAGAUUCUCAAUGUGUUUUACACUGGAUAGGAUCGAAAAAACCUCUAGCAACAUUUGUUGAUAAUAGAAUAAAGGAGAUUAGGCAGCAACAAGACAUUCAAUUUCAGUACGUCUAUACGAAGGAAAAUCCAGCUGAUAUUGCAAGCAGAGGCACAACAGUAUCACUGUUAAAAGAAAACAGCCAAUGGUGGCAUGGUCCCUCUUGGUUAACAAAACACAGAACUGAGUGGCCUAGAUGGGAUCCUCACAAUAUAAGUGUUGACAAUCAAAAUUCGAUUGAAUCAGAAUACAAGGUAUCUAAAGUAUUACAUGAAGCAAAAUUGCUUGCUGGAGAGGGUCCUGACGGAGAAAGAGAAACAAACAGUGUUGGAAAUUCGAAAUCUAGUGUUGGGUAUCUGUUAGACAUUGAUUGUAGCAGAUUUUCCUCAUUUAUCCGCUUGAUCAGAGUAUCAGCUUGGGUAUUGAGAUUUGUUAAACGGUUAAAUAAAGAGACGAUAUCUGGUCCUCUAACAGCUGCAGAGCUAGAACACGCAAAGUUAUUGUGGAUAAAAUCUGUUCAAAAACAAUGUUUUGGUGAAGUGAUGAUAGCAAUUAAAGAAAAUAAAAGACACAACUUAGUAAGUCAGUUAGGGCUCAUUUUAGACCAGGAAAAUGUGAUCAGGUGUGUUGGUAGAUUAGGAGCUGCUCAACUGUCAGAAGGGGCAAAAACACCAAUAUUACUUCCAAAGAAAAACAAAGUUACUGAACUGUUAAUUGAAAGCAUGCACAGAAAAAACUUUCAUGUUGGUGUCUCACAAACUUUAUCAGCGAUGCGUCAAACGUACUGGAUUCCACAAGGACGUUCAGAAGUAAAAAGAGUUUUGAGAAAAUGUACAAUCUGCAAACGGUGUGAAGGCGGACCAUAUAAAAUGCCAUUAAUGCCUCCACUACCAAAGAAACGAGUAAACGAGUCAGCCCCAUUUACAUAUACAGGAGUAGACUAUUUUGGACCAAUUUUUGUGAAAUCAGACACUGGAAGCAAAAAAGUAUGGGUUUGCUUAUAUACAUGUCUAGUGGUUCGAGCCAUACAUAUGGAAUUAAUGCAAGACAUGUCAGCAGAGGAAUUCUUACUAGGCUUUCGAAGGUUCAUUGCUCGCUGGGGUAACCCAAAACAAAUAAUUUCAGAUAACGGAUCCCAGUUCAAGUUAGCUAGCAAAACCUUAGAAGAAGCAUGGAAUGGUGUAACAGUCGAUUCAGAUGUGCAAACAUACAUGGCAAAUGAAGGAAUUCAGUGGCAAUUCAUUGUUGAGUUAGCACCUUGGAUGGGUGGAUUUUAUGAAAGAUUAAUUGGUAUUGUAAAACGAUGUUUACGGAAAACAAUUGGAAAGUUAUGUCUAACAAAUGAACAAUUUAGAACUCUCUUAGCUGAAUCUGAAGCAGUGGUGAAUUCUAGACCACUUGUUUAUAUUGGAGAUGACAUAAAUUCCAAUAUUAUUCUUACACCAGCACACUUUCUAACUCUGAACCCUAAAACAGGAUUUCCAGAUCAUAACGAAGAAGAUUCUACAGAUCCAGAAUAUUUACCGCAAAUCAGUAGUGCUAAAAAAUUGCUAUUGACAUGGAAGAAAGGACAGAAACAUCUAAAUAUGUUUUGGAAAACAUGGAGAGAUGAGUAUCUCCUUAGUCUACGUGAAAGAACUGCCAACAAACUAAGGAGUGGAAGAAUUCAGAGCAAAACUCCAGCUAAGGUUGGUGACAUAGUGUUAAUUAAGGAAAACCUUCCACGAGGAAGUUGGAAAAUUGGCCGUAUAUGUCAAUUAGUAGUCAGUCGAGAUGGUCAAAUAAGAUCUGGAAAAGUUAUGCUACCUAAUAAAAAGACAUUAAACAGAGCUCUGAAUAUGCUUUAUCCUAUAGAAUGUGUGAAGAGUUAA
rnacentral:sRNA from 1 species